rnacentral:rRNA from 1 species
ACAGUUCGAUCCUGGCUCAGGAUGAACGCUGAAGGCAUGCUUAGCACAUGCAAGUCAGACGGGAAGUGGUGUUUCUAGUGGCGGACGAGUGAGUAACGUGUAAGAACCUGCCCUUGGGAGGGGAACAACAGUUGGAAACGGCUGCUAAUACCCCAUAGGCUGAGGAGCAAAAUGAGGAAUCCGCCCGAGGAGGGGCUCACGUCUGAUUAGCUAGUUGGUAAGGAAAUAGCUUACCAAGGCAAUGAUCUGUAGCUGGUCUAAGAGGAUGAUCAGUCACAUCGGGACUGAGACACGGCCCAGACUCCUAUGGGAGGUAGUAGUGGGGAAUCUUCCAAAAUGGGCCAAAGCCUGACGGAGCAAUGCCGCGUGGAGGUAGAAGGCCAACGCGUCGUGAACUUCUUUUCUAGGAGAAGAAGCAAUGACGGUAUCUUGGGAAUAAGCAUCGGCUAACUCUGUGCUAGCAGCCGCGAUAAUACAAAAGAUGCAAGCAUUAUCCGGAAUGAUUGGGCGUAAAGCAUCUAUAGGUGGCUUUUUAAGUCCGCCGUCAAAUCCCAGGGCUCAACCCUGGACAGGCGGUGGAAAAUACCAAGCUGGAGUACGGUAGGGGCAAAGUGAGUUUUUGGUGGAGCAGUGAAAUGCGUAGAGAUCAUAAAGAACACCAACGGUGAUAGCACUAUGAUGGGCCGACAAUGACACUGAGAGACGAAAGCUAGGGGAGCGAAUGGGAUUAGAUACCUUAGUAGUCCUAGCCGUAAAUGAUGGAUACUAUGCAUUGUGCGUAUCGACCCGUGCAGUGUCGUAGCUAACAUGUUAAGUAUCCCGCCUGGGGAGUAUGUUUGCAAGAAUGAAACUCAAAGGAAUUGACGGGGCCCGCACAAGCGGUGGAGCAUGUGGUUUAAUUCGAUGCAAAACGAAGAACCUUACCAGGGCUUGACAUGCCGCGAAUCCUCUUGAAAGAGAGGGGUGCCUUCGGGAACGCGGACACAAGUGGUGCAUGGUUGUCGUCAGCUCGUGCCAUAAGGUGUUGGGUUAAGUCCCGCAACGAGCGCAACCCUCGUGUUUAGUUACCACCGUUGAGGUUGGAGCACUGAGCAGACUGCCGGUGAUAAGCUGGAGGAAGGUGAGGAUGACGUCAAGUCAUCGAGGGGUCACUAGUUGGGAUGGGUCGAGAGGGGUCACUACUUGUUAAAUGAAAGUAUAGAAAAACAAUUAAAAAGAGUAUCAGAUGAUAAUUGGUGUGUAUACAAAGUCAGUUCAACUAUGUCUGCAGGAAACUUCUGCAAUCUGCACUACGUUGUGUCAAUGUACUUAAAAUUUUAUAUCUACCCAAACACCCAAGU